rnacentral:tRNA from 1 species
CGCGGGGUAGAGCACUGGUAGCUCGUCAGGCUCAUAACCUGAAGGUAGCGGGUUCGAUUCCCGCCUCCGCAA